CCUACGGGCGGCAGCAGUGGGGGAUAUUGGACAAUGGGGGGGAACCCUGAUCCAGCGACGCCGCGUGAGUGAAGAAGUAUUUCGGUAUGUAAAGCUCUGUCAGCAGGGAAGAAAGCAAUGACGGUACCUGACCAAGAAGCCCCGGCUAACUACGUGCCAGCAGCCGCGGUAAUACGUAGGGGGCAAGCGUUAUCCGGACUUACUGGGGGUAAAGGGAGCGUAGACGGCUGUGCAAGGCUGGAGUGAAAGGCGGGGGCCCAACCCCCGGACUGCUCUGGAAACUGUAUGGCUGGAGUGCAGGAGAGGUAAGCGGAAUUCCUAGUGUAGCGGUGAAAUGCGUAGAGAUUAGGAGGAACACCAGUGGCGAAGGCGGCUUACUGGACUGUAACUGACGUUGAGGCUCGAAAGCGUGGGGAGCAAACAGGAUUAGAUACCCUUGUAGUC
rnacentral:rRNA from 1 species